rnacentral:piRNA from 1 species
UCUAAAAAUCUAAUGGAUGUC